GUGGGGAAUUUUGGACAAUGGGCGCAAGCCUGAUCCAGCAAUGCCGCGUGCAGGAAGAAGGCCUUCGGGUUGUAAACUGCUUUUGUACGGAACGAAACGGUCCUGGUUAAUACCCGGGGCUAAUGACGGUACCGUAAGAAUAAGCACCGGCUAACUACGUGCCAGCAGCCGCGGUAAUACGUAGGGUGCAAGCGUUAAUCGGAAUUACUGGGCGUAAAGCGUGCGCAGGCGGUGCUGUAAGACAGGCGUGAAAUCCCCGGGCUUAACCUGGGAAUUGCGCUUGUGACUGCAGUGCUGGAGUGCGGCAGAGGGGGAUGGAAUUCCGCGUGUAGCAGUGAAAUGCGUAGAUAUGCGGAGGAACACCGAUGGCGAAGGCAAUCCCCUGGGCCUGCACUGACGCUCAUGUACGAAAGCGUGGGGAGCAAACAGGAUUAGAUACCCGUGUAGUCC
rnacentral:rRNA from 1 species